rnacentral:piRNA from 1 species
GAGAAGAGACCUGUUCAUGCGCCUGC